AUAGCGUAUAGUACCGUGAGGGAAAGGUGAAAAGAACCCCGGGAGGGGAGUGAAAUAGAACCUGAAACCCUGCACUUACAAGCUGUGGAAGCACAUUUCUUGUGUGACCGCGUACUUUUUGUAGAACGGGCCAACGAGUUACGUUAAGUAGCAAGGUUAAGCACUUAAGGUGCGGAGCCGUAGCGAAAGCGAGUUUUAACUGAGCGUUCAGUUACUUGACGUAGACCCGAAACCGGGCGACCUACCCAUGAGCAGGAUGAAGCGAAAGUAAAAUUUCGUGGAGGUCCGAACCCACGAGCGUUGAAAAGCUCGGGGAUGACUUGUGGGUAGCGGUGAAAUUCCAAUCGAGCCCGGAGAUAGCUGGUUCUCCCCGAAAUAGCUUUAGGGCUAGCCUCAAGGUGAGAGAUACGGAGGUAGAGCACUGAAUGUCCUAGGGGGUAUUGCACCUACCGAAGACUAUCAAACUCCGAAUGCCGUCAUCUUAUACUUGGGAGUCAGACUGUGGGUGAUAAGAUUCAUAGUCGAAAGGGCAACAGCCCAGAUCGUCAGCUAAGGUCCCUAAAUGUAAGUUAAGUGGUAAAGGAUGUGGGAUUGCACAGACAACCAGGAUGUUGGCUUAGAAGCAGCCACUCAUUCAAAGAGUGCGUAAUAGCUCACUGGUCGAGUGAUCCUGCGCCGAAGAUUUCCGGGGCUAAAACUUACUACCGAAGCUACGGCAUCAGUAAUGAUGGGUAGGGGAGCUUCCCAUACGGGUUGAAGCAUGACCGUAAGGACAUGUGGACAGUAUGGGAGUGAGAAUGUUGGCAUGAGUAGCGAGAUGUGGGUGAGAAUCCCACAGGCCGUAAACCCAAGGUUUCCAGGGGAAGGUUCGUCCGCCCUGGGUUAGUCAGGACCUAAGCUGAGGCCGAAAGGCGUAGGUGAUGGACAACAGGUUGAUAUUCCUGUACUACCGAUAACCGUUUGAGAGAAGGGAUGACACAGUAGGAUAAGCUAAGCACACUGUUGGUUAUGUGUGCCCAAGCAUUGAGGCAGUCAAAGUAGGCAAAUCCGCUUUGAUAAUGCUGGGAUGUGAUGGGGAGCGAAAUUUAGUAGCGAAGUAGCUGAUUUCACACUGUCAAGAAAAGUCUCUAUCGAGGUUAAAGGUACCCGUACCGCAAACCGACACAGGUGGGUGAGGAGAGUAUCCUAAGGCCAGCGAGAGAACUGUUGUUAAGGAACUCGGCAAAAUGACCCCGUAACUUAGGGAGAAGGGGUGCCUUCGAAAGAAGGCCGCAGAGAAUAGGCCCAAGCGACUGUUUACCAAAAACAUAGGUUUCUGCUAAGUCGCAAGACGAUGUAUAGGAGCUGACGCCUGCCCGGUGCUGGAAGGUUAAGGGGAUCUGUUAGAGCAAUCGAAGCAGUGAACUUAAGCCCCAGUAAACGGCGGCCGUAACUAUAACGGUCCUAAGGUAGCGAAAUUCCUUGUCGGGUAAGUUCCGACCCGCACGAAAGGCGUAACGAUUUGGGCACUGUCUCAACAACAGACUCGGUGAAAUUGUAAUUCCGGUGAAGAUGCCGGAUACCUGCGACAGGACGGAAAGACCCCAUGGAGCUUUACUGUAGCUUGACAUUGGGUCUUGGUACUACAUGUACAGGAUAGGUGGGAGGCUUUGAAACCAGGACGCCAGUUUUGGCGGAGCCAUCCUUGGGAUACCACCCUUGUAGUACUGGGACUCUAACCAUAGGCCAUGAAUCUGGUCUUGGGACACUGUCAGGUGGGCAGUUUGACUGGGGCGGUCGCCUCCCAAAAGGUAACGGAGGCGCUCAAAGGUUCUCUCAGUACGGUCGGAAAUCGUACGUAGAGUGUAAAGGCAAAAGAGAGCUUGAUUGCAAGACAUACAGGUCGAGCAAGGACGAAAGUCGGACUUAGUGAUCCGGUGGUUCCGCAUGGAAGGGCCAUCGCUCAACGGAUAAAAGCUACCCUGGGGAUAACAGGCUGAUCUCCCCCAAGAGUCCACAUCGACGGGGAGGUUUGGCACCUCGAUGUCGGCUCAUCACAUCCUGGGGCUGUAGUAGGUCCCAAGGGUUGGGCUGUUCGCCCAUUAAAGUGGUACGCGAGCUGGGUUCAGAACGUCGUGAGACAGUUCGGUCCCUAUCCGUCGCAGGCGUAGGAAAUUUGAGAAGACCUGUCCUUAGUACGAGAGGACCGGGAUGGACGUACCUCUGGUGUACCAGUUGUCCUGCCAAGGGCAUGGCUGGGUAGCUAUGUACGGAAUGGAUAAGCGCUGAAAGCAUCUAAGCGCGAAGCCAACUUCAAGAUAAGAUUUCCCACCGCAAGGGUAAGACCCCAGAAAGACUAUCUGGUUGAUAGGUCGAAGGUGUAAGUGCAGCAAUGUAUUUAGCUUAUCGAUACUAAUAGGUCGAGGACUUGACCAA
rnacentral:rRNA from 1 species